CCCUAUUAUACUUGAGAAUAAGUUAAAUUUAAAGUAGUAAAUGAUAAAUCAGGAAACUUAAAGAAUUUGGCGGUACUUAUUCUGUUUAGAGGAAUAUGUUUUUUAAUUGAUAAUCCCCAUUAAUCUUACUUAAAUUAUUAAAUUUUGUAUAUCUCCGUUUUAAAAAUUUAUUUAAAAAUAAAGUUUAAUUUUUUAUAAUAAAAUAAAUCAGGUCCAGGUGCAGAUUAUAUUUAAGUUAAAAUGUAUUACAAUAAAUUUAUUAAUAGUAUUUAAUAUGAAAAAUUAAAUUAAAUUGGAUUUAAAAGUAAAUUUGUUUGCAUUAUAAUAAGUUGAAUUAUGAAAGUAAGUAUGUCACAUCGCCC
rnacentral:rRNA from 1 species